rnacentral:rRNA from 1 species
GUAGGGUGCGAGCGUUAAUCGGAAUUACUGGGCGUAAAGCGUGCGCAGGCGGUUACUUAAGUCAGGUGUGAAAGCCCUGGGCUUAACCUAGGAAUUGCGCUUGAGACUGGGUAGCUUUGAGUGUGGCAGAGGGAGGUGGAAUUCCACGUGUAGCAGUGAAAUGCGUAGAGAUGUGGAGGAACACCGAUGGCGAAGGCAGCCUCCUGGGCCAGCACUGACGCUCAUGCACGAAAGCGUGGGGAGCAAACAGGAUUAGAUACCCUGGUAGUCCACGCCCUAAACGAUGUCAACUGGUUGUUGGUGGGGUUAAACCCAUUAGUAACGAAGCUAACGCGUGAAGUUGACCGCCUGGGGAGUACGGCCGCAAGGGUA